GAUGAAGAACGUAGCGAAAUGCGAUAAGUAGUGUGAAUUGCAGAAUUCAGUGAAUCAUCGAAUCUUUGAACGCACAUUGCGGCCAUAGGUAUUCCUUUGGCCAUGCCUGUUCGAGCGUCAUUUACACCCUCAAGCCUAGCUUGGUGUUGGGCGCCUGUCCCGCCGUUUUCGCGCGCGGACUCGCCUCAAAGUCAUUGGCGGCGGUCGUGCCGGCCCCCUCGCGCAGCACAUUUGCGCUUCUCGGAGGCCCGGCGGAUCCGCGCUCCAGCAAGACCUUUCACGACUUGACCUCGGAUCAGGUAGGGAUACCCGCUGAACUUAAGCAUAUCAAUAAGCGGACGA
rnacentral:misc_RNA from 1 species